rnacentral:rRNA from 1 species
CCCUUAGAUGUUCGGGGCCGCACGCGCGCUACACUGAAGGUAGCAGAGGGUGUGAUCGCUCCCGCCCCGAAGCGGGGCGGGUAAACCGUUGAACUACCUUCGUGGCUUGGGACCGGGGCUUGGAACUGUUGCCCGCGAACGAGGAAUUCCCAGUAAGCGCGAGCCAUAAGCUGGCGUUGAUUACGUCCCUGCCCUUUGUACACACCGCCCGUCGCACCUACCGAUUGAAUGGUCCGGUGAAAUCUCGGGACGGCGGCUUGGUCGCUUGCGUCCGACUGCUGAAACUUGAUUAAACCAUAUCAUUUAGAGGAAGGUGAAGUCGUAACA